GAAAAACAUAAAUUAUGUUAUUCCUCAUAAAGGAGGUGUUGACUGUAAAAUGGAGCAAAGUAAACCCUUAUUCGCAUAAUGGAUACCAUUGCCAUAAAAAGCUGUAGCAUCAGACCGGUUCUAAAGUGAAUGCAAACACUGAAAGAAAAUGCAAUGAAAGAAUGAUAAAUAUAAAUAUAUAAAAUAAAAGGAUAUUCAUAAAUGCUAAGUAGUGAUAUUUAAUUUGUCUCAGGAUUGUGUCCAAGAUUACAUAGUGAUACUCCAUGCAUAUUUAAGGAAGAAGUUAUACCUUAUUAGUGGCCCUGAAAUAAAGGGAUAAAAUUUCUGUAAAAGGUUGACUAUAUAUGUAAAAUAAAACUGGCCAAUGAUCAGUAUGUUUUGAACUGUUCUUUUGAUAUCCAUUGGAUAGAUCCAGUUUCUCUAAUGUCCUGUCUUAGAGAAUGAGCAAAGUAGACUGCCGAGGGACAAGGACAAAAAAUUAAAAGACACAGCAUUACUUCCCUGAACAUUCUCCUGGUUUCCACCAGUUUGCUGUUCAGGGACUGCCUGACCCACAGAUGUCUGUAUGUAAGUGUAUAUUUAAUAAUUCAUUGUGGCAUUACACUUUUUUUUUGUUUUGUUUUCCCUUGGUAUUGUGUAGCUUUUUAUCAGCGUGUUGUUUUCCCUCUUGGCCGUGUCCUCACAACUCACCCCAUUCCAAGAGCAUGGAUGACUGUUGUGCCCAGCAGUGUAUUGUACAUAUGUAAUGAACACAGCUUAGGGUGUCAUAUGGACAUCUCGAGUUUCUUCAGCAAGCUAGGAAGCAUUUCCUUUGGUCAACCUGAAUGUCUGUGGAACAGACUCGUGGACUUCUAAACACCUUCCAAGCUCUGUCCAAGAAUCCAAAUUAUGCAGGAGGAUAGAUCAGGAGAUGAGUAAUCAUGGGAUAGAGUAAUUCUUGGUCUUCUAAGAAAAUCAGACCUUCAGGGCUCAUGUGCUGUUACGACACUUUCUCCUCUUUCUGGUCAGUAACAUUUUAAUCCAUUUAUCAAUUCUAGCUGUUUUGUGCAAAAAAAUUCAAGGCUUAUGAAAAUAAGAUUCUAGACAAAAAAAGUAGAUAUUAUCAGUACUGUAAAUGUGAAGAAUAAUAAUAGAUUACUAUGCAGUAUGAGGAG
ensembl:lncRNA